CCUGGCGGCUGCUUACCAUGCAAGUCGAGCGGUAAGGCUCCUUUGGGAGUACACGAGCGGCGAACGGGUGAGUAACACGUGAGCAAUCUGCCCUUCACUUUGGGAUAACUUCCGGAAACGGAAGCUAAUACCGAAUACGACCAUCACAGACAUCUGUUGAUGGUGGAAAGUUCCGGCGGUGAAGGAUGAGCUCGCGGCCUAUCAGCUUGUUGGUGAGGUAACGGCCCACCAAGGCGACGACGGGUAGCCGGCCUGAGAGGGUGACCGGCCACACUGGGACUGAGACACGGCCCAGACUCCUACGGGAGGCAGCAGUGGGGAAUAUUGGACAAUGGGCGAAAGCCUGAUCCAGCAACGCCGCGUGAGGGAUGACGGCCUUCGGGUUGUAAACCUCUUUCACCCAUGACGAAGCGAAAGUGACGGUAGUGGGAGAAGAAGCACCGGCCAACUACGUGCCAGCAGCCGCGGUAAU
rnacentral:rRNA from 1 species